AUGGUUCACUAUUCACUUUAUCCAGAAAACACCACAGAAUCAUGCAGAUCAAGAGGUUCAAAUCUUCGUGUUCACCUUAAGAACAUUUAAAAAGAACACUCCUGAAAGCGCCCAGGCCAUCAAAGGUAUGCACGUACAAAAGGCCACAAAGUAUCAGAAAGAUGCCACUUUACAGAAACAACAUGUACCAUUCUGACAUUAUAAUGGUGGAGUUGGUAGAUGUACCCAGGCCAAGAAGUGGGGCUGGCCACAAGGUCGGCGGCCCAAAAAGAGCACUGAAUUUCUGCUGCACAUGCUUAAAAAUACAGAGAGUCACACUGAACUUAAGGGUUCAGAUGCAGAUUCUCUGGUCCUUGAGCAUAUCCAACUGAAGAAAGCACCUAAGUUGCGUCGCCGGACCUACAGAGCUCAGG
rnacentral:lncRNA from 10 species